GUCGGGGUAGUGGCCGGUGAAGAUCGUCGGUCGGCUGGGCACACA
rfam:Mycobacterium sp. E2978 contig_318, whole genome shotgun sequence.